UGUUUAGUUAUCGAAAGGUUCUUGUGAAGAUUUAAAUUAAGUGAGGUCCUUGAACGAUUGAGAAAUCGAAUUAAAAAUCAGUUGAAUAGUUUGAAUUAAAGGGCUUUGAGGGCUUUGAGAUUUUAAGGAAUUAUAGAAUUUAAUCCCAAGUUUAAGUGAGGGAGUUUUAUGACAAUUUGUGAUUAACGGAUGCUUAUUCCGAGGGGAAUGAGACGUACUGAGCCCUCGAGCGAGGAGGACACAGACAGGCAGCAGGGUUAGCUGCGGGAUU
rnacentral:lncRNA from 1 species